AAUCUAAUAGAACCUUCAAUUUUAAUCAAACCCUAAUCCUAAUCCAACCUUAAUCAAAUCCUACAAAAAUCCAAAUCCUAAACCAAAUCCUAAUCAAAUCUUAAUCAAACCCUAAACCUUAAAUCAAUCCUUAACCAAAUCCUAAAUAAAAUCCUAAAUCCUAAUCCAAAUCCUAAUUCAAAUCCUAAAUUCUAAAUCAAAUCCUAAACCAAAUCCUAAACCCUAAACCCUAAACCAAAUCCUAAACUAUAUCAUAAUCUUAACAAAUCUUAAAUCUUAAAUCAAAUCCUAAUCAAAUCCUAAUCCUAAAUCCUAAACCAAAUCCUAAACCAUAUCGUAAUCCUAACAAAUCCUAAAUCCUAAAUCAAAUCCUAAACCAUAUCUUAACCCUAACAAACCCUAAACCCUAAAUCAAAUCCUAACUCAAACCAAACCCUAAUCAUAGAUUUGAAAAUUAAAUAACUAAAAAUUAUAAUUCAAAAUUUUCAUACUUCUUGGAGUUUAAAUUAGAAACCAGUACAAAAAUUUUGAAGAAAAUCACACUUACCAAUUACUCGAUGACCUCAAAAUUCCGCUCUGAUGUGAGUUCGUCUCUCCUUCUCCAAUCUUGAUGCCAACUUUCAGCACUGAUAUCUUUCUUUUUUACUAUUAGAUUGCUUCCAAAUUUUACUUGCAUAUAGGAAAUCAAGUCUUCUACUGAUAAAACCAAAAAUCUCUCCAAUCCAACUAGUAGAUUGCUAGAUAUCUAAGAAAACCUUACUGGUCCUUAAAACCCUAAAUUUCAAGACCUUAGCCCACAAAAACCUUCAUAUGUAUCGAUCUAGCUAUUCGAUUGACUCCAAAUCUCUUACGCACAUUUACAACAAGCAUAUC
rnacentral:lncRNA from 1 species